rfam:Stegodyphus mimosarum contig54310, whole genome shotgun sequence.
GCUUUCGUGGUGUAGUCGUCAGCACGCUCGACGCGUAUUCGAGAGGUCCGUGGUUCGAGUCCCGGCUAGGGCA